GAGAGAGGAAGAGCAGCCGCCGCGACAUUAGUCGUGAGGAAAGUCCCCUCACCACUGGACACACGGAUGCCGAGAUGGCUUAUGGCGAGAGUUUUGGCUCUGACACAGAAACGAUACCACGGUAUGCAUAAUGCGAUGAUGCCGGAAGGCUGAGGUCACAUAUCGUGGAUGAAACGGUCUAAUCCCCGUGGGUGCAAGCCAGCGACAGGGCACGCGCGAUUAAGCGCGAGCGGAGUCCAGCCGUGCCCGGGUAUGGCGCUCAGUCGAAUGCUGCUAUGAACAGAAAGGGGCUUACUCUCCUCACUC
rnacentral:RNase_P_RNA from 2 species